ACAUCUUCCUUUUUGGAAAUUUACUGAGUUUCUGUGUUUUAUGAUGCUGACCCAGCAGCUAUAACCAGGGCACUUUUGUCUUCUGCCUUUGCCAAAGAUGGCUCACAAUCAGGGCUGUGGUGCCAUCAUUAUCAUCAUCAUCAUCAUCACCACCAUCGUCACAUCAUCUUCACCAUCUUCAAUACCAUCACCAUAAUGAUGAGGCUUUUAUUCUGAAGCUCUGUUGUUUUCAAUGAAAAGACAUGGUCCCUACCCAAAAGGAACUUACAACACAAAUGAGAAAAAUUGAGCCAAAAUAAGACCGAAAACCCGGUAACAUGUAGAAUGAUGAUGACGGUGAUGAUAAGAAACAGCAAUUUA